ACGGUGACGUUAAGCAAAUACCCAGAAAUAACGUCCCAGUUCGGAUUGUAGUCUGCAACCCGACUACAUGAAGCUGGAAUCGCUAGUAAUCGCGAAUCAGAAUGUCGCGGUGAAUACGUUCCCGGGUCUUGUACACACCGCCCGUCACACCAUGGGAGUCGGAAAUGCCCGAAGUCAGUGACCCAACCGUAAGGAGGGAGCUGCCGAAGGUGGAGCCGGUAACUGGGGUGAAGUCGUAACAAGGUACC
rnacentral:rRNA from 1 species